CCCGCAACAGGGGGAUAACCCGGCGAAAGUCGGACUAAUACCGCAUAAAACAGGGGUCCCGCAUGGGAAUAUUUGUUAAAGAUUUAUCGGUUGCGGAUGGGCAUGCGUACCAUUAGGUAGUUGGUGAGGUAACGGCUCACCAAGCCUUCGAUGGUUAGGGGUUCUGAGAGGAAGGUCCCCCACACUGGUACUGAGACACGGACCAGACUCCUACGGGAGGCAGCAGUGAGGAAUAUUGGUCAAUGGGCGAGAGCCUGAACCAGCCAAGUCGCGUGAAGGAUGACUGCCCUAUGGGUUGUAAACUUCUUUUACAAGGGAAUAAAAUGAGAUACGUGUAUUUUAUUGCAUGUACCUUGGGAAUAAGCAUCGGCUAACUCCGUGCCAGCAGCCGCGGUAAUACGGAGGAUGCGAGCGUUAUCCGGAUUUAUUGGGUUUAAAGGGUGCGUAGGUGGGCUGUUAAGUCAGCGGUGAAAGUUUGUCGCUUAACGAUAAAAUUGCCGUUGAAACUGGUAGUCUUGAGUAUAGAUGAAGUAGGCGGAAUGCGUGGUGUAGCGGUGAAAUGCAUAGAGAUCACGCAGAACUCCGAUUGCGAAGGCAGCUUACUAAGGUAUAAC
rnacentral:rRNA from 1 species